GCCUAUUGUAGCUCAGGGGCAGAGCCACAGACUGAAGAUCUGUUUGUCAACGGUUCGAGUCCGUUUUUAGGCG
rnacentral:tRNA from 1 species